rnacentral:rRNA from 1 species
CCUACGGGUGGCAGCAGUGAGGAAUAUUGGUCAAUGGGCGCGAGCCUGAACCAGCCAAGUAGCGUGAAGGAUGACUGCCCUACGGGUUGUAAACUUCUUUUAUAGAGGAAUAAAGUGAGGCACGUGUGCCUUUUUGUAUGUACCUUAUGAAUAAGCAUCGGCUAAUUCCGUGCCAGCAGCCGCGGUAAUACGGAGGAUCCGAGCGUUAUCCGGAUUUAUUGGGUUUAAAGGGAGCGUAGGUGGGUUGUUAAGUCAGGUGUGAAAGUUUGCGGCUCAACCGUAAAAUUGCAGUUGAAACUGGCAGCCUUGAGUACGGUUGGGGUAGGCGGAAUUCGUGGUGUAGCGGUGAAAUGCUUAGAUAUCACGAAGAACUCCGAUUGCGAAGGCAGUUUACUAAA